GGGGAGCGAAUCCCCGAGUAGAGCGGCGAACGGGUGAGUAACGCGUGGGUAAUCUACCUCCGAGUGGGGAACAACAGCGGGAAACUGCUGCUAAUACCGCAUGACAUCGUCGAGCCUUCGGGCAUGACGAUCAAAGCCGGGGACCGCAAGGCCUGGCGCUUGGAGAGGAGCCCGCGUCCGAUUAGCUAGUUGGCGGGGUAACGGCUCACCAAGGCUCCGAUCGGUAGCCGGCCUGAGAGGGCGGACGGCCACACUGGGACUGAGACACGGCCCAGACUCCUACGGGAGGCAGCAGUGGGGAAUUUUUCGCAAUGGGGGAAACCCUGACGAAGCAACGCCGCGUGGAGGAUGAAGGCCUUCGGGUCGUAAACUCCUGUCGACCGGGACGAACGCUAUAGGGCCCAAUACGCCAGAUAGUCGACUGUACCGGUGGAGGAAGCCACGGCUAACUCUGUGCCAGCAGCCGCGGUAAUACAGAGGUGGCAAGCGUUGUUCGGAAUUACUGGGCGUAAAGGGCGCGUAGGCGGUCUUGUCAGUCCCUUGUGAAAUCCCCCGGCUCAACUGGGGAACUGCACGGGAAACAGCAGGGCUUGAGUUCGGGAGAGGGAAGCGGAAUUCCGGGUGUAGCGGUGAAAUGCGUAGAUAUCCGGAGGAACACCGGUGGCGAAGGCGGCUUCCUGGACCGAUACUGACGCUGAGGCGCGAAAGCUAGGGGAGCAAACGGGAUUAGA
rnacentral:rRNA from 1 species